AUUGAACGCUGGCGGCAUGCCUUACACAUGCAAGUCGAACGGCAGCAUGUCUUGUAGCAAUACAAGACGAUGGCGAGUGGCGAACGGGUGAGUAAUAUAUCGGAACAUGCCAUUUAGUGGGGGAUAGCCCGGCGAAAGCUGGAUUAAUACCGCAUACGCCCUGAGGGGGAAAGCGGGGGAUCGCAAGACCUCGCGCGAUUAGAGCGGCCGAUGCCUGAUUAGCUUGUUGGUGGGGAAAAAGCCCACCAAGGCGACGAUCAGUUGCUGGUCUGAGAGGACGAUCAGCCACACUGGGACUGAGACACGGCCCAGACUCCUACGGGAGGCAGCAGUGGGGAAUUUUGGACAAUGGGGGCAACCCUGAUCCAGCAAUGCCGCGUGAGUGAAGAAGGCCUUCGGGUUGUAAAGCUCUUUUGUCAGGGAAGAAACACCGGCUCUAACACAGUCCGGGAAUGACGGUACCUGAAGAAUAAGCACCGGCUAACUACGUGCCAGCCGCCGCGGUAA
rnacentral:rRNA from 1 species